rnacentral:rRNA from 1 species
UACGGGGGGGGCAAGCGUUGUUCGGAAUUACUGGGCGUAAAGGCUCGUAGGCGGCCAAUUAAGUCAUACGUGAAAUCCCUCGGCUUAACCGGGGAACUGCGUCUGAUACUGGAUGGCUUGAGUUCGGGAGAGGGAUGCGGAAUUCCGGUGUAGCGGUGGAAUGCGUAGAGAUCCGGAAGAACACCGGAGGCGAAGGCGGCUGACUCGGCGGUG